rnacentral:rRNA from 1 species
CAGUAGCCGCGGGAAUACGUAGGUCCCGAGCGUUGUCCGGAUUUAUUGGGCGUAAAGCGAGCGCAGGCGGUUAGAUAAGUCUGAAGCUAAAGGCUGUGGCUUAACCAUAGUAUGCUUUGGAAACUGUUUAACUUGAGUGCAGAAGGGGAGAGUGGAAUUCCAUGUGUAGCGGUGAAACGCGUAGAUAUAUGGAGGAACACCGGUGGCGAAAGCGGCUCUCUGGCUUGUAACUGACGCUGAGGCUCGAAAGCGUGGGGAGCGAACAGGAUUAGAUACCCGAGUAGUCCCUGUCUCUUAUACA